rnacentral:rRNA from 1 species
CCCUUAGAUGUUCUGGGCUGCACGCGCGCUACACUGAUACUUUCAGCGAGUCCACCACCUUGCCUGGGAGGGUGGGGUAACCUCUGGAAAGUGCAUCGUGAUGGGGAUCGAUUAUUGUAAUUAUUAAUCUUCAACGAGGAAUUCCUAGUAAGCAUGUGUCAUCAGCCCGUGCUGAUUACGUCCCUGCCCUUUGUACACACCGCCCGUCGCUCCUACCGAUUGAACGGUUUAGUGAGGGCCUCGGAUUGGUCUCGGCCCGCUCUUUACCGGGCGGCGCCGUUGGUCGAGAAGACGCUCGAACUUGAUCGUUUAGAGGAAGUAAAAGUCGUAACA